rnacentral:tRNA from 1 species
UGGGACGUAGCCAAGUGGCAAGGCAACGGAUUCUGGCUCCGUGAUCGAAGGUUCGAAUCCUUCCGUCCCAG